rnacentral:rRNA from 1 species
AUUGAACGCUGGCGGCAUGCCUUACACAUGCAAGUCGAACGGCAGCGGGCCUUCGGGUGCCGGCGAGUGGCGAACGGGUGAGUAAUGCAUCGGAACGUGCCAUUGAGUGGGGGGAUAACGUAGCGAAAGUUGCGCUAAUACCGCAUAUUCUGUGAGCAGGAAAGCAGGGGACCGCAAGGCCUUGCGCUCUUUGAGCGGCCGAUGUCAGAUUAGCUAGUUGGUGAGGUAAAGGCUUACCAAGGCGACGAUCUGUAGCGGGUCCUGAGAGGAUGAUCCGCCACACUGGAACUGAGACACGGUCCAGACUCCUACGGGAGGCAGCAGUGGGGAAUUUUGGACAAUGGGCGCAAGCCUGAUCCAGCCAUGCCGCGUGAGUGAAGAAGGCCUCGG